ACCACAGAAUACAUUCAUCAACCUGUACCACGGGAUAGAUACCACACAGUUCUGCAUCUUAGACUGUCAUCAGUUUUCAUAAUGAGCUAAUAACUUAUAAUCAUGAUAGAUAUUACUUGCUUAAUAGCCAUAAAUAAGUCUUUAGUGAUGAAAUAUAAAAAAGGGAUACAGAAAGUUGAGAAAAUUACAAAAGAGAUGUAGACAAAGAAAAACCUUAUAGGAUUAUUCUCUUGAAAUUCAUUUUAGAUCUGAAAAAGAAAGAAAAUACAAUAAUACUUUAUAAAAAUUUAUCAGCAUUUCCUUCCCUUUAUAGA
rnacentral:misc_RNA from 1 species